GAGAGGCGGCUGUCUCCACCGCGGCUCACAAUGACGGCUCACUGUCCCGCGGUCCCGUGAAGGCUGAAGAGACGAUGAUGAAUUAAUUUCUUACGCUGAUUAGUUGCGCCGGCACGGAAACUAGAACUAGUGUUCUAGUUUGUGUUUAUCACGGACUCUGUAGGUGCUGCACACUCGCGCUCUCAGCCCGCGGGUUUCGAAACAAGAAGAAAGGAGAAAGAAGAGCACGAGUGCGCAUAGUUAAAGCAGACUAACGUGAAAACAGGGUCAGACUUCAUCCUUUUACCUUAACCGUACAUGAAAAAUGAGGCUGAGACAGGAGCUCAGUGUCACAGCUGGAACAACAUCAGCUGACAUGAAAGAAAAGCAGACAUUUGUUCCCUGAUAGCAAAGAUGUUGAUGGAGAGCGUGAGGGAACUACAGAGAGGAGGAGGACACAGUGGACCAGCCCUCAGACCUGUGUGUCUCACACUGCCCUACAUCAGCAGGAGAGAGGACGACCCCCCAGUCUAAGGACGACCCCCCAGUCUGAGGACGUUCCUCCACAUGAAUGGGGGACAGGAGGCGCAGCUUCCAGCCAGCUGGUAGGAAAGUCCUCCUCAACUUCUCUGUAACUAUGGACUCUGCCUGUUGUCAUGCGUGCAGAUGUUUCAGUCCACAGUGAUGUCAGUCAGUGCUUUUUAAAGAUGUGCAGGGUGUAAAAUCUCCUGUUUGAUUGUUAAAUGUUCAUUCACUUUGUUGGUGCUCCAAAUAAAUUCACUUCAUAGAUG
ensembl:lncRNA